AUUAUUCCUGUAAAAGCACUCAUGGUCGUGAGGCAGUGUGGUUAGCUGGUUGCAUACACAGGUUGACAACGGCUACCUUCACUGCCACCCCGAACAUGUAGUCCUCCAUCUUUGAACAGU
rnacentral:precursor_RNA from 14 species